rnacentral:rRNA from 1 species
UACGUAGGUGGCAAGCGUUGUCCGGAUUUACUGGGCGUAAAGGGCGUGCAGGCGGUUUGUUAAGUGCAGGGUGAAAGCUCCCGGCUCAACUGGGAGAGGUCCUUGCAUACUGGCAAACUCGAGGGAGGCAGAGGAAAGUGGAAUUCCCGGUGUAGUGGUGGAAUGCGUAGAUAUCGGGAGGAACACCAGUGGCGAAGGCGGUUGCCUGGAGCUUUGCUGACGCUGAUGCGCGAAAGCGUGGGGAGCGAUCCGG